AGGGCGCACGGUGGAUGCCUUGGCACUAGGAGCCGAUGAAGGACGGGGCAAACGCCGAAACGCUUCGGGGAGCUGUAAGCAAGCGUAGAUCCGGAGAUGUCCGAAUGGGGGAACCCACUGUCCGUAAUGGGGCAGUAUCCAUGCCUGAAUCCAUAGGGCAUGGAGGGCACACCCGGGGAACUGAAACAUCUUAGUACCCGGAGGAGAAGAAAGCAAAUGCGAUUCCCUGAGUAGCGGCGAGCGAAACGGGAACAGCCCAAACCAAGAGGCAUGUCCUCUUGGGGUUGUAGGACCGCUCACGAUGGGAGUGAGAAAGGAACGGGGUAGACGAACCGGUCUGGAACGGCCGGCCGGAGAAGGUGAGAGCCCUGUAGUCGAAACUUCGUUCCCUCCCGAGCGGAUCCUGAGUACGGCGGGACACGGGGAAUCCCGUCGGAAGCAGGGAGGACCAUCUCCCAAGGCUAAAUACUCCCUAGUGACCGAUAGUGCACCAGUACCGUGAGGGAAAGGUGAAAAGCACCCCGGGAGGGGAGUGAAAGAGAACCUGAAACCGUGUGCCUACAAGUAGUCAGAGCCCGUUGAUGGGUGAUGGCGUGCCUUUUGUAGAAUGAACCGGCGAGUGACGAUGGCGUGCGAGGUUAAGCCGAAGAGGCGGAGCCGCAGCGAAAGCGAGUCUGAAGAGGGCGUCAAGUACGUCGUCGUCGACCCGAAACCAGGUGAUCUACCCAUGUCCAGGGUGAAGGCCGGGUAACACCGGCUGGAGGCCCGAACCCACGCACGUUGAAAAGUGCGGGGAUGAGGUGUGGGUAGGGGUGAAAUGCCAAUCGAACUUGGAGAUAGCUGGUUCUCCCCGAAAUAGCUUUAGGGCUAGCCUCGGGUUUAAGAGUGUUGGAGGUAGAGCACUGAUUGGGCUAGGGGCCCCAACCGGGUUACCGAACCCAGUCAAACUCCGAAUGCCAACGACUUAUGCCCGGGAGUCAGACUGCGAGUGAUAAGAUCCGUGGUCGAGAGGGGAACAGCCCAGACCGCCAGCUAAGGCCCCGAAGUGCACGUUCAGUGGAAAAGGAUGUGGAGUUGCCAAGACAACCAGGAUGUUGGCUUAGAAGCAGCCACCAUUGAAAGAGUGCGUAAUAGCUCACUGGUCGAGUGGCUCUGCGCCGAAAAUGUACCGGGGCUAAACGUGCCGCCGAAGCUGCGGGAUGACCGUUGGUCAUCGGUAGGGGAGCGUUCUAAGGGCAGAGAAGCCAGACCGGAAGGACUGGUGGAGCGCUUAGAAGUGAGAAUGCCGGUAUGAGUAGCGAAAACAGAGGUGAGAAUCCUCUGCGCCGAAAGCCUAAGGGUUCCUGAGGAAGGUUCGUCCGCUCAGGGUUAGUCGGGACCUAAGCCGAGGCCGAAAGGCGUAGGUGAUGGACAACAGGUGGAGAUUCCUGUACCACCUUCUUCCCGUUUGAGCGAUGGGGGGACGCAGGAGGAUAGGGCGAGCAGGCGGCUGGAAGAGCCUGUCCAAGCCGUGAGGCUGAUCCGCAGGCAAAUCCGCGGAUCGCAAGGCCAAGCGGUGACGGCGACGGAGCAUUCCGGAAGUCCCUGAUUCCACACUGCCAAGAAAAGCCUCUAGCGAGGGAAGAGGUGCCCGUACCGCAAACCGACACAGGCAGGCGAGGAGAGAAUCCUAAGGCGCGCGGGAGAACUCUCGUUAAGGAACUCGGCAAAAUGACCCCGUAACUUCGGGAGAAGGGGUGCUCUUUCGGGUGAAGAGCCUGGAAGAGCCGCAGUGAAAAGGCCCAAGCGACUGUUUAUCAAAAACACAGGUCUCUGCGAAGCCGAAAGGCGACGUAUAGGGGCUGACACCUGCCCGGUGCUGGAAGGUUAAGGGGAGCGCUUAGCGGAAGCGAAGGUGCGAACCGAAGCCCCAGUAAACGGCGGCCGUAACUAUAACGGUCCUAAGGUAGCGAAAUUCCUUGUCGGGUAAGUUCCGACCCGCACGAAAGGUGUAACGACUUGGGCGCUGUCUCAACGAGAGACCCGGUGAAAUUAUACUACCUGUGAAGAUGCAGGUUACCCGCGACAGGACGGAAAGACCCCGUGGAGCUUUACUGCAGCCUGAUAUGGA
rnacentral:rRNA from 1 species